UACAGAGACCUCGAGCAUUAUCCGGAAUUAUUGGGCGUAAAGGGUCCGUAGGCGGCUUUCUAAGUCAUGCGUCAAAUCUUUGGGCUCAACCCAGAGGCUGCGUGUGAUACUGGAAGGCUUGAGAUCGGGAGAGGCACAUGGAAUUACUGGUGUAGCGGUAAAAUGCGUUAAUAUCAGUAAGAACACCAAAGGCGAAGGCAGUGUGCUAGAACGAUUCUGACGCUGAGGGACGAAAGCGUGGGUAGCGAAUGGG
rnacentral:rRNA from 1 species